rnacentral:lncRNA from 1 species
UUCAGCAUUUACUAACUAGCACUUGUCGAUGGGAAAUUAUAAAUCUUAAAGGCAAGUUACAGCUCCGAAACUCCAUUUGCAUAAGCUGUUGAUUCAUAGUUUUAAAAAAAUGCAUGUACAUUUUUAUGCAAUUUUUAUAAAAGCAAUAAGCCACCUCUGAGGCUGUGUAUUUGACUGUAAAGGAGUCCAAACUGGAUUCACUCUGGUGUGUCUUUCUUUGUUUUUCUUCUGUCUCCAGUAGCAACAGAUAUGAUUGACAGCUGCAUUCUAAAGGCCUGUCUCCAUGGGAACAAGCGUGACCUUUUGCACACGGGUUUGUGAUGGUGGGAUCUCAUGUUUACGGCCUCAGUCUCACAACAUUGCAUCACUGUUGGCUCUUGAAGCAGGAGGAGUGUUGAGCUGCUGAUUGGUUCUUAACCCCGGGUCGGAGCUCUUGAUUGGUCGGUGUGUUGUUAUUGAUCGUAGAAUCACUUUCAGGGUAAUUUCUGUCUUGUGGAGGGAAAAGGUGAGUCACGAGAAAAACAGAAAAACCUUCAGAGACAUCAGAUGAAUCACGCUGAGGAAACUCACACCAGGGUUAUCAUCAGCAGGACUGUUAUCAUUAACUAAAACCAUAAAAAAACAUGCUCAAUACUUGAAAUAAUCAUUAAAUGAAAUAAUAAAAAACUUAAACUCCUUUUAUUUCAGCUAGCUGCGAAGGCAACAUUUCUUAGUUUUAUUUAGAUUAAGCUAAAAUACACUCAAAAUGUAAUAUAUACAGUGCUUUAACUGGGCCUGAACACACCUGUACUCAGUACCGCCACUUCCAAAUAUAGCUAUUGAGCGUACCACCACCUCUCCGUGUGCCCAGAACCUGCUUUUAGUGUACCGGUACGUUCAUUUGGACAUCUGUUUUAAUAGAGGUUUUAAUCCUUUGCCUUCAAUGCCGCUUUUCAGAGCGCCCUUCACAAUGCACGCUUCCUAAUUCUUCCUAGUUCGGAGUAUGGAGCGUGAAUCAUUUGAGUCAGUUCGGGACUUCGUAGCGGGUUCGCGAAUCAUUUGAGUCAGUUCGGGAGUUCGGAUCGGGUUCGCGAAUCAUUUGAGUCAGUUCGGGAGUUCGGAUCGGGUUCGCGAAUCAUUUGAGUCAGUUCGGGAGUUCGGAUCGGGUUCGCGAAUCAUUUGAGUCAGUUCGGGAGUUCGGA